AACGAACGCUGGCGGCAGGCCUAACACAUGCAAGUCGAGCGAAGCCUUCGGGCUUAGCGGCGGACGGGUGAGUAACGCGUGGGAACGUGCCCUUUGGUACGGAAUAGCCCCGGGAAACUGGGAGUAAUACCGUAUGUGGUCGAGAGACGAAAGAUUUAUCGCCAAGGGAUCGGCCCGCGUUGGAUUAGGUAGUUGGUGGGGUAAUGGCCUACCAAGCCGACGAUCCAUAGCUGGUUUGAGAGGAUGAUCAGCCACACUGGGACUGAGGCACGGCCCAGACUCCUACGGGAGGCAGCAGUGGGGAAUCUUAGACAAUGGGGGAAACCUUGAUCUAGCCAUGCCGCGUGAUCGAUGAAGGCCUUAGGGUUGUAAAGAUCUUUCAGUGGGGAAGAUAAUGACUGUACCCACAGAAGAAGCCCCGGCUAACUCCGUGCCAGCAGCCGCCGUAACAC
rnacentral:rRNA from 1 species